GAUGAACGCUGACAGCAUGCUUAACACAUCAGCAAUUGAUUGGUGGCGGACGGGUGAGUAACGCCUAAGGAACUUGCUUCACAGCUAGGGAAACCAUUUAGAAAUGACUGUUAAUACCUAAUACGGUGAGAGAGCGUUGCGUCACAUUAGCUCGUUGGAGAGGUAACUGCUCACGAAGGCGAUGAUGGGUAGCCGGCCUGAGAGGGUGAACGGCCACAAGGGGACUGAGAAACGGCCCUUACGCAGUCUGGAGGCAGCGGUGGGGAAUAGUGGACGACGGACCGAAGUCUGAUCCAGCAAUUCUGUGUGCACGAUGAAGUUUUCGGAAUGUAAAGUGCUUUCAGUUUGGAAUCGGUACCAACAGAAGAAGCGACGGCUAACUACGUGCCAGCAGCCGCGGUAAUUC
rnacentral:rRNA from 1 species